CGGAGGGUGCAAGCGUUGUCCGGAUUCAUUGGGUUUAAAGGGUGCGUAGGCGGCCUGGUAAGUCAGCGGUGAAAUACCCACGCUCAACGUGGGAACUGCCGUUGAUACUGCCGGGCUUGAGUUCGUCCGAGGUCGCUGGAAUGCGUGGUGUAGCGGUGAAAUGCAUAGAUAUCACGCAGAACACCGAUUGCGAAGGCAGGUGACUGGGACGCGACUGACGCUGAGGCACGAAAGUGUGGGGAGCAAACAGGAUUAGAUACCCUGGUAGUCCACACCGUAAACGAUGGAUACUAGGUGUCCGGGGCUUCGGCCCUGGGUGCCCAAGGGAAACCGAUAAGUAUCCCACCUGGGGAGUACGUCCGCAAGGAUG
rnacentral:rRNA from 1 species